ensembl:lncRNA
CAAGGGGAUAAAAGGAGGACAGAAAUCGUACCUUUUCAAUAAGCCGCAGCAGCACCAGCGUGAAGAUGUCCAAACCAAUUUGUCUGCUGUUUGCCCUGGUGAUUCUGAUCACAGUUUUGUGCAACAACUCAGUCUGUUCACAGAGGAAACAAUUUGGUGUUUGUGGCUGCAAAAUUCAUCCCAUAAAGGGGAUUCAUUGCAGAAACAAAAAUCUUAAAAGAGAGUACAGAGAAAUUGUUGGGUGUAUUUGCAGGAACCAAGAAACAUGUAAGUUGAACAAUUUUGAUUGAAAAUGUAACGAUAAGAGUUAUGCAAGAAUUGUUGUCAUUAAUCAUUAUAAUAAAUCUGUUGUCCUUUUUGCA